AUUGAACGCUGGCGGCAUGCUUUACACAUGCAAGUCGAACGGCAGCGGGGGCUUCGGCCUGCCGGCGAGUGGCGAACGGGUGAGUAAUGCAUCGGAACGUGCCCAUGUCGUGGGGGAUAACGUAGCGAAAGCUACGCUAAUACCGCAUACGUCCUGAGGGAGAAAGCGGGGGAUCUUUGGACCUCGCGCGAUUGGAGCGGCCGAUGUCGGAUUAGCUAGUAGGUGAGGUAAAGGCUCACCUAGGCGACGAUCCGUAGCGGGUCUGAGAGGAUGAUCCGCCACACUGGGACUGAGACACGGCCCAGACUCCUACGGGAGGCAGCAGUGGGGAAUUUUGGACAAUGGGGGCAACCCUGAUCCAGCCAUGCCGCGUGCAGGAAGAAGGCCUGGUGUAAUAGCUUGUUAGAAAGGGUAGAGAGUAAGUACCUACGUCGUUGUAUGUAGUAGGAAGUAAAGUAAAGGACAACCGGACCGUAACUAACCGUAGUACCCAGCCAGCCGCGGUAAC
rnacentral:rRNA from 1 species